ensembl:lincRNA
UGAAAAUCAGCCAGCAGCAACGUGAAUGGUGUGGGAUCCCCUAGUGCACAAGGUAUCUACUGCAGCCUCCAGGCCAUGUGAAGAGACUGUCAACUUCAACCCAGGUGAAGACAAAUCAAAUCCUCCUCUGGAGAGUCUGAAGGUUAGUGCUGAGGAAAUGGUGGAAGCACGGCAAGAGGGAGAGCAGAAGCCAGGAGGCAGCAGGAGCCUGAGAAAACAAUGCCAGAGGGAAGCGGGGCUCGAAGGGACGCUGGGAAGUGCAGCCAUGCCCUGGUGGAGAGGGAGCCCUCGCACCGGGGACUGAGGCUUGCGUCACCGGGACACUGAAGCAGCAGACGGAAGCUGGGCCAGAGCCUGCGACUGCAGUGAACAACCCCGUCUGUCCCAGGAGCUGCUCGUCAUGCAGAAGGAGCAAUUCAGCUCCCUCUCCGUCCUAUGGCAUGUGACAUUCCUCCUCUCUGCAUUUCCUCAGGAGUCCCGCUAAGCAUCCACUCUUAUUUGCAGUAAGUGGCUAAGCACCUGCUUUAGCAUGAAAAGAGCUCAUUCAGGUCAUCCCUGGGCACUCACUGUUCCGUAAUCUUCUUCAGUCUAUCACUUCUCGACUUCGAUCCUGAAUCAAUGGGAAUCUGUCUGCCCAGGUGAGACACUUCCCAGCGCUCAGUCUGUGCAGCUGCUGGAUUUGGGGUGAGUGUGGAGGCUGUGUGCCUAGCUGGCCACAGGAAACUCCUCCGUACACUUACUCACUGGCUGCACGUGUACUCUGCGGGUGCCAGGCCCCCGGGGACGCGGGGCAGAGAGGACAAGUGCUGCAGCGCUCUCCAGGAGAGCGCGUGGAAGGACUGAAGCAGCGCAAGUGCCCUGAGGGGAAGACUCUGCAAAGAUGCUCGCUGACUUAAAGAAGAACAGAGAAGGAACAACCCGCGGGGGGUGGAGGGCAAGUCGGGGACCAUCCAGCCACGCCCAGCCCAUCCCCUCUGGCAGAUGACAACACCAUCCCUCAUUGCUGUUUGGUCCUCACAGGCCCCCAGUCUGUCCUUGGGGAUGACCUGAACCUCGCUGCCAGCAGCCUGAUGUGACCCCCUUAUCCAGAGGCGACCAGAAGCCCAGCUCUGACUGCCUUGGGGCAUCUAACGAUGCAUAAGCAGGUCACGCUCGCAGCCACAGCUGCUGUUCGGCUUUUAAAACUGAGAGCUAAUGAAGGUGUGUGCGGCCGAGUGUGACUGUCACGGUGGCGUGGACCAUUCAUCUUCGGGAGCCACCUAGCCGUGUGAGCCCUUGGAGGCCAGGCUUGUAGUUGAACUCCAGGAAGGGGAGAAGGAACUUCCAGGCCCGGCCCCCACUGUCCUCUAACGAGAGUGAGCCAAAGCCCUCGCUGAGUGUAUCUCGCGUGACCAGGAAGAAGGGUCCGCAGCGGCUCAUUUUGGGACUGAUCUGCGGCCAACGUCAAAGGCUGCAUGCUGACCUCCUCAGAGGAAUUACUGAAGGAAGUGUCAUCGUGCAGAGCUGCGGCUGACUUCUGUGCUCUCCCAGAAACCCCUGACCCUAGAAGUGAGAGACGAGCUCCCCGUGUACUUCCGCCCCUCGCUAACAGUUGUUUUUCUUCCUUCUUGCAGUUGGGCUUCACACUCAGGGUCAUCCCCUCCUCAGAGUUACUCCUUUCAUUCCCCACUGCCUGGUGCUCACACUGCACGUAACUGGCCACUGACAUGGGAACCCCUGGAAUAAUUUGUGAAGUUUUUCUCCCACAUGGCCCUCAAGAACCCCGUUCUUAGUACAAAUGGCAAUAAUGAGCCCAGGGGAGCCUACCCAUAAAGAAACACAGGACAGGAAAUUUCUGGCAAGAAACAAAGCUAUAGCCGGGCAUGGUGGCACAUACCUGUAAUCCCAGCACUUGGGAGGCUGAAGCAGGAGGAUCCAUUACAAGUUUGAGACCAGCUUGGGCUACAAAGUGAGCUCAAGGCCAGCCUGAACUGCAUAGUGAGACCCUGCUUCAAAAAGACAAAAGAGAGAGAGAGAAAGGGAGAGAGAGAAAGCCAUGACUUUUGACUCACAAGUCAAAGCCUUAACAUAGUUUAGCUUCAGAAUCUAAAAAAGCAAAAAAGAAAAAAU